GUGAGAAGGUUUUCGGAUCGUAAAACUCUGUUGUUAGGGAAGACAAGUGCAUACUAACUGAUGGCACCUUGACGGUACCUAACCAGAAAGCCACGGCUAACUACGUGCCAGCAGCCGCGGUAAUACGUAGGUGGCAAGCGUUGUCCGGAAUUAUUGGGCGUAAAGCGCUCGCAGGCGGUUCUUUAAGUCUGAUGUGAAAUCUUACGGCUCAACCGUAAACGUGCAUUGGAAACUGGGGAACUUGAGUGCAGAAGAGGAGAGUGGAAUUCCACGUGUAGCGGUGAAAUGCGUAGAGAUGUGGAGGAACACCAGUGGCGAAGGCGACUCUCUGGUCUGUAACUGACGCUGAGGAGCGAAAGCGUGGGGAGCGAACAGGAUUAGAUACCCUGGUAGUCCACGCCGUAAACGAUGAGUGCUAGGUGUCAGGGGGUUUCCGCCCCUUAGUGCUGAAGUUAACGCAUUACGCACUCCGCCUGGGGAGUACGGCCGCAAGGCUGAAACUCAACAGAAUUGACGGGGGCCCCGCACAAGCGGUGGAGCAUGUGGUUUAAUUCGAAGCAACGCGAAGAACCUUUACAGGUCUUGACAUCCUCUGAACACUCUAGA
rnacentral:rRNA from 1 species